rnacentral:rRNA from 1 species
UACGUAGGGGGCAAGCGUUGUCCGGAAUUAUUGGGCGUAAAGAGCUCGUAGGCGGUCUGUCGCGUCUGGUGUGAAAAUCCAGGGCUUAACCCUGGACCUGCAUUGGGUACGGGCAGACUAGAGUGCGGUAGGGGAGAUCGGAAUUCCUGGUGUAGCGGUGAAAUGCGUAGAUAUCUGGAGGAACACCGGUGGCGAAGGCGGCAUCCUGGACCAUUACUGACACUGAAAAGCGAAAGCCAGGGGAGCAAACGGG